rnacentral:lncRNA from 1 species
GGGGGGGGGGGGGGGGGGGGGGGGGGGGGGGGGGGGGGGGGGGGGGGGGGGGGGGGGGGGGGGGGGGGGCGCUGCCCCGCUGCCCUCAGGAGCCUCCCCUGGGCACCAGCACCCGCGGCUGGCUCUGCAAGGAACCCACCGGCGCCCACCGCGCCGGCAACUCUGGCUGCAGAGAGACAAGUUUCCCCUCUUGUCAUCUGCCCCUUCAAAACGAGAAGUCGCAUAAUGUUUAUUUCCUGUAUCUUCAUUUGCUUCAUUGCAAAUGUCUUUAGUGGAUUGGGGAGGACAACCUGGACAGUCUGGGCCUGCCUUUUUUGUUCCCUUUUAAAAAUUAUUUUUUUAAUAUGCGCGUAGUGGAAUUACAGUAGCCGCGAAAGUGGGAUAACGCAUUUAGUGACCAAUGACCAAAGAGAUGCCCACUGCGCAAAGAUUUUAUUCUUCAGCUCUUCCUGCUCGAUGUACCUUGUUCCUCCUCCCCCAAAAUCAAAAAUAAUAAUUAAAAAAAAAAAAAAAGGAAAGGAAAGGAAAAUAAUUUCUCUCAAGUCUAAAUUCUUAGGUCCAUGUGCUAAAGAUAAAAUGAAUUUCAAUUGCUAGUGGAAAAAAUCAGCAAUUGUAUGACUUUUGCAAGAGCUAGUUUCUUAAACGGAAAUUGAGUCCUAUUUUGUGGGAAAUUAGUUUUGCAGACUUUCUUUAAAAAAAAUCUAAAACUUUUGUUCAGCAGCUGCUCCGCUUUUCACUGCAGUUUCAGACUGAGCUGGAACCUGCAGCAGUCUUUCGACGGUUUUAAGGGUAAAAAAUUGAGAAUGGAUCUCCUCAGAGAGGAAGGAGAGAGAAUGGCACAUCUAAAGGAUGCAAUCUAUCAUCCUAAACAUUGGUCCCUUCAAUCCUAUGAAAAUGGAACUGUAAAACCAAAUGAAAACAGCAGUUCAGAAGUAUUCUCUGGGCCAAGACAAAACCAGCCUGGAUUUUCUCACCCUUACUCACAGUGA